CCAAUCCUACGGGGCGCAGCAGUGGGGGAUAUUGCACAAUGGGGGGAACCCUGAUGCAGCGACGCCGCGUGGGUGAAGAAGCGCCUCGGCGCGUAAAGCCCUGUCAGCAGGGAAGAAAAUGACGGUACCUGAAGAAGAAGCUCCGGCUAACUACGUGCCAGCAGCCGCGGUAAUACGUAGGGGGCAAGCGUUAUCCGGAUUUACUGGGUGUAAAGGGGGCGCAGACGGCGAUGCAAGCCAGGAGUGAAAGCCCGGGGCCCAACCCCGGGACUGCUCUUGGAACUGCGUGGCUAGAGUGCAGGGAG
rnacentral:rRNA from 1 species